rnacentral:rRNA from 1 species
UGGGGAAUAUUGCACAAUGGGCGCAAGCCUGAUGCAGCCAUGCCGCGUGUGUGAAGAAGGCCUUCGGGUUGUAAAGCACUUUCAGCGGGGAGGAAGGCGUUAAGGUUAAUAACCUUGGCGAUUGACGUUACCCGCAGAAGAAGCACCGGCUAACUCCGUGCCAGCAGCCGCGGUAAUACGGUGGGUGCAAGCGUUAAUCGGAAUUACUGGGCGUAAAGCGCACGCAGGCGGUCUGUCAAGUCGGAUGUAAAAUCCCCGGGUUCAACCUGGGAACUGCAUUCGAAGCUGGCAGGCUAGAGUCUUGUAGAGGGGGGUAGAAUUCCAGGUGUAGCGGUGAAAUGCGUAGAGAUCUGGAGGAAUACCGGUGGCGAAGGCAGCCCCCUAGACAAAGACUGACGCUAAGGUGCGAAAGCGUGGGGAGCAAACAGG